UGAGCUUUGUGGAAAUGAGGUGAGCACUACUAAGACAGAAAAGUGAUUCUCCAUCAAGCCUUCCAGAGGAUAUUUCUGAGAGAGGAUUUAUACAAGCUAUGUUGAUUUACCUUACAGAUGCCUGCCUUGGUGUGUCUGUACUAAACAUGUCACUUUGUUCUCUAUUUUGUUAAAAUGGAAACAGGAGUGCAUGUGGGCAUUGAAUUGCACUGUGAUGCUGCUGCUGAGCCACAGCACUGUUCCUCAGGGAGGCUGUUCCUCAUGGGGGGUCAGCUCUGUUGUACACAAAGCCACACCACGGUAAUACAGUCCCCGUGGCUACAGGACACAGAGAACGAAGAAAACAUGAACCACGAACAGAAAGACACUGCCCUACAUCUGAACAAUGUUUCAUUGCAGUUCUCUGGGAACUGGUGCUACUAUUUAAGAUACUGA
rnacentral:lncRNA from 1 species